rnacentral:rRNA from 1 species
UACGUAGGGUGCGAGCGUUGUCCGGAAUUAUUGGGCGUAAAGGGCUCGUAGGCGGUUUGUCGCGUCGGGAGUGAAAACCCAGGGCUUAACCCUGGGCUGGCUUCCGAUACGGGCAGACUAGAGGUAUGCAGGGGAGAACGGAAUUCCUGGUGUAGCGGUGAAAUGCGCAGAUAUCAGAAGGAACACCGGUGGCGAAGGCGGUUCUCUGGGCAUUACCUGACGCUGAGGAGCGAAAGUGUGGGGAGCGAACAGG